CUUAGUGCAGUACAUUCUUCAUUUUUUUUUUGGAAAUUGUGUACCAUAGUUAUUAAAGGCAUAGUUGUUUAGUGCCUAGGCGCAAGGCUUAGGUACAUGCCUAAAUGAGGUGAGGCUCAAAAAAAAAAAAAAAAANGAUAUUAUUUCAGGCUGAUUUCUUUGCUUGCACCUGAGGCAUGCCUUCAACAACUCUAGCUAUUACAAAUACAUUAUGGCCGUGACAGCCUCAUUACUGUUACAUGCAACUGUGACCG
rnacentral:misc_RNA from 1 species